AGGGGAAUAUUGGACAAUGGGCGCAAGCCUGAUCCAGCCAUGCCGCGUGAGUGAUGAAGGCCCUAGGGUUGUAAAGCUCUUUCACCGGUGAAGAUAAUGACGGUAACCGGAGAAGAAGCCCCGGCUAACUUCGUGCCAGCAGCCGCGGUAAUACGAAGGGGGCUAGCGUUGUUCGGAUUUACUGGGCGCAAAGCGCACGUAGGCGGACUAUUAAGUCAGGGGUGAAAUCCCGGGGCUCAACCCCGGAACUGCCUUUGAUACUGGUAGUCUUGAGUUCGAGAGAGGUGAGUGGAAUUCCGAGUGUAGAGGUGAAAUUCGUAGAUAUUCGGAGGAACACCAGUGGCGAAGGCGGCUCACUGGCUCGAUACUGACGCUGAGGUGCGAAAGCGUGGGGAGCAAACAGG
rnacentral:rRNA from 1 species